rnacentral:lncRNA from 1 species
GCUCAAUGCAAGGUCCGCCUCCUGGGUUCACCCCAUUCUCCUGCUUCAGUCUCCUGAGUAGCUGGGACUACAGAUGCCCGCCACCACGCCUGGCUAAUUUUGUUUUUGUACUUUUAGUAGAGAUGGGGUUUCACCGUGUUAGCCAAGAUGGUCUUAAUCUUCUGACCUUGUGAUCCGCCCACCUCGGCCUCCCAAAGUGUUGGGAUUACAGGCAGGAGCCACCGCACCUGGCCUCAACUUCUUUUUUAACUUAUGAAUUGUUUAUUUCCGGAAUUUUCCAUUUAAUAUUUUUGAACCACAGCUGACUGAGGCAUGCACCAGAUCUGUCAUUUCUGGAAUCUUGUGCGAAUUGUGUAUCAACUUGAGGGUGAGUGCUCGUGGGUUGUUGUGGUGGGCAAAUGAGGCUAUGUGGAGAACUUAGCAAUGUUUUCAAAGAGACCUUGCCACACAGAUGCUUUCAGAAUUUAAAUGACUCAGAAAGUUGUUUACUUUUGGCCCAAAGCCAAUGUCUUCUGGAGGUAGUGAGUGCUGCUUUGGAUGGGUUGGGAUCAGCAGAGCAUCUACCACAGAAAUUCUAACAAAAUGAGGGUUGGACCUGUGAUAAGGGCAGCGUCAGCAGCAAGGGCCUCUAGAGGCUUGGUCACCACAACUAUAAAUCUUUCAUGUAGUCGAACUUCCUGCUUUCACUUCACAGGGCCACUCACGGACUUGUCAUCUGCUCUCACCAGGACUUCAGAGGAUCUCAAUGCUGCUGUUCUCACAGCCUGACAGGGACAAAAUAACAGGAAACUUGCAAAUUUGUCUUUAUUCUUGCUUAUGGUAUGGCUAGAAAAUGUUUGAAUUAAUAUGAGAAAUAUAAAGAUCUAUCAUAACCUCCUUUUUUGUAGGUGGGGCUACUUUUCCUUCCUUAAUAGUUACCCUUCUGCUGAGGCCCCCUAUGGGAAACACCAAUCUUUAAGGGACUUAAUCCCUUUUUCCAAACUUCCCUGGGCCAGUGCCCAAAUGGUCUAUACAUUGUCUGUUAAAUCAAAGAAACCAGCUUUCUUGUUUUUCUCUAUGGUUUCUUCCCAUGCAAUUGACAUCUUACAGUGCAACAUGGAAAUUUGAAAUAAAGGCACACCAUUGCACAUCUAAGUUGAGAUCUAGAGACGGUGGUUUGGAGUGAAGUUCUAAUUAAUAGGAGAAAUGGGAUUGCUAACUUUGGCUUUUCCCAGGGAUCCUUAAGGUCUGGGACAGAUCCCCCAUUGGUCUAGAGGAGUUAGGGUUAAUUGUAGUCCUGCUUGGAGACAAAGGUACUAAAAUGUGACUACUGGCUUUUUCAGCUAUAAAAUUGAAGAGUCUCUGCAUGGUCUGUUCCAGGCAUCUCCCUGAGCCAGCCCAAGGAACUGCCUUUAGGUCUCUUCCUUAUCCCUUCUCUCUCUCACGCCUUCUUUUGUUCCCUGCCCUUCUUCCUGGCCUCUCUCUCUUACUUUCAUUUCUUCUGGCAAUUAGUGGACAAGCCAGAAGAAAACAAUUAAGAUGGUCAUCAAUUUGGGCAGUAUUCUGUUCACACUUAUUUGAGACUUGUUCUGUAGUAUAUGUGAACAUACUCAGGACGUAAAUGAAAUAGAAUAGUGAGCCAGAAAAUUGUGAUAAAUAAAGGUGCUUCUACCCAUAUUUUGUUUACAUUCUGGGUGGUGCAUGAGAUUAAAAGCUGUGAGACUUUGCAAAUAGAAUGAGGUAGAUGACUAGUUUUUGCUGUGCAUAAGGUCAACAAUAUCACCCAACAAAUAGCCAGCUCCUUGCCACACUCCCUUCCUUCAUUCUAGUCAUCUAUCUUACAAGCAUAAUUGAAUUAGAUCCUCAUAAAAGUCUUACAAGGCACAUACUACUGAUGGUAGUGGAGGCCUGUCUGGAGCGGCUGCUGCCAUGAUGCUGGCUUCAGGGGGUGAGGCAUGGCCAGGGCUGCACACUCCAAAGAGCCAGCAGGAGCCGGGAAAAGGCAGAAGCCCUGGCAGGGCAGGAACCUUGUGCUCCCUGGGAGCAGCUGCGGCCAUCCAGCUGUGGCUGUGGACCUGGGCAUCCCUGUGCUCUUGGGAGCUGGGAUUGGGCAGGAGCCCUGCCCUUCUGGAGUGUAG